GAUGAACGCUGGCGGCGUGCCUAAUACAUGCAAGUCGAGCGAACAGACGAGGCGCUUGCUCCUCUGACGUGAGCGGCAGGCGGGUGAGUAACACGUGGAUAACCUACCUAUAAGUCUGGGAAAACCUCGGAAAACCGGCGCAUAUACCGGAUAAUAUAUUGAACCGCGUGGGUGAAUAGUGAGAGACGGUUGUGCUGUCACGAAUAGAUGGAUCCGCGCCGGAUUAGCUAGUUGGUAAGGUCACGGCUUACCAAGGCUACGAGGCGUAACCGAGCGCAGAGGGUGGUCGCCCACACUAGAGCGGAGACAGGGACAAGACUCCUACGGGAGGGAGCAGUAGGGAACCGGACGCAAUGGGGGAAAGUAUUACGGAGCAAGGCCGCGUCAGAGACGACGGUCCCCGGAGCGUAAAACCCUGCUAUUGGUGAAGAACCACUGUCUAAGUAGAUAUGCCCGUCUUGACGGUAAUGAAUAAGAAAGCCACGGCUAACUACGUG
rnacentral:rRNA from 1 species